AAAAGACAAAAAAAUUGAUAAAAAGAGACAGAAUGAUAUAUAGAGAGAGGGAAAUUGGCAGAGAAUUUUUAAAAACAACGAGUAUGUAUUUGAAAGUUUUUAGAGAGAAGAGACACGAUGAUCCAAUGAAAAUUGGAAGCAACGGUUGGGGGCGAAAAUAAGUAUGGGGACAAAGGGGAGAAGGACUUAUGGUGUCCCUAUUGGUGCUUCAAUCUUGGCCUCAUGAUCUCUUGUGACCUCUUCUCUUUUUCUCUUUCUCUAUCUUAGACUUUAGAACGUGGGUAAGAAUAACUAGUCUAGCUUACUUUGAAAGCAAGAAGUGCAGCACGAUAAACUCUUAGUUUUCGCGAAAGUGGGGGGAAGAUGCGCAACAAGAAUUUAGCUCCUUGUUUUCAGAGAUUAGUGGUUUCGAUUAAAUUGCACGUCAGUGUUGGUUUUUGAUUGAGUGAUUCCGUCAGUUUCAAAGGAGAUUAUUUUCCGAUGUUCUCUGUUUUCAUUUAUUAAUACAGUAAUUAAAACUGUUGAGGAUAUUAAAACCCAGACUGAGCCAAUAUUGGGCCAAGGUUCAAAAUACAGUAACCAAGACAUUCUUCUAAAAUGGUUAUUACAAUAUCAAUGAGUCGACAUGUAUGCGGAAUGGAAAUAUUUGUGUCAUAAUGGGGAGAAAAUUUAUAAGUCUUCGUAUAUCUAUAUAGAUACCUCCAACUGUAAUCGAAAUUCCAUAGCGGAAAAUUGCUUAAAGAGCUGGUAAUUGUGACAGGUUGUUAAUCCUUUCGAUCCGUGCGGCAAUAAACUGUAAUUAACGACUGAAGUAAAUCAAUAUGAAGAGUACAGAUGGGAAAAUAAAUUCUCCUUUUUUAUAUUCGACGCGUCUAUGGAAAUAUAAUAGGAAUCGCAGAGCAAAAGAAAUUGGAAACAAUUUUUUUUUGCUUUUCAAAAAUAAGUAAGUAAAUAAAAA